GCUUGCUGGGUGGAUUAGUGGCGAACGGGUGAGUAACACGUGGGUGAUCUGCCCUGCACUUCGGGAUAAGCCUGGGAAACUGGGUCUAAUACCGGAUACGACCACGGGAUGCAUGUCCUGUGGUGGAAAGGUUUACUGGUGCAGGAUGAGCCCGCGGCCUAUCAGCUUGUUGGUGGGGUAAUGGCCCACCAAGGCGACGACGGGUAGCCGGCCUGAGAGGGCGACCGGCCACACUGGGACUGAGACACGGCCCAGACUCCUACGGGAGGCAGCAGUGGGGAAUAUUGCACAAUGGGCGAAAGCCUGAUGCAGCGACGCCGCGUGAGGGAUGAAGGCCUUCGGGUUGUAAACCUCUUUCAGCAGGGACGAAGCGCAAGUGACGGUACCUGCAGAAGAAGCACCGGCUAACUACGUGCCAGCAGCCGCGGUAAUACGUAGGGUGCGAGCGUUGUCCGGAAUUACUGGGCGUAAAGAGUUCGUAGGCGGUUUGUCGCGUCGUGUGUGAAAUCCCGCAGCUCAACUGCGGGCUUGCAGGCGAUACGGGCAGACUUGAGUACUGCAGGGGAGACUGGAAUUCCUGGUGUAGCGGUGAAAUGCGCAGAUAUCAGGAGGAACACCGGUGGCGAAGGCGGGUCUCUGGGCAGUAACUGACGCUGAGGAACGAAAGCGUGGGUAGCGAACAGGAUUAGAUA
rnacentral:rRNA from 1 species